UACGUAGGGUCCGAGCGUUAUCCGGAAUUAUUGGGCGUAAAGCGCGCGCAGGCGGUUUCUUAAGUCUGAUGUGAAAGCCCACGGCUCAACCGUGGAGGGUCAUUGGAAACUGGGGAACUUGAGUGCAGAAGAGGAAAGUGGAAUUCCACGUGUAGCGGUGAAAUGCGUAGAGAUGUGGAGGAACACCAGUGGCGAAGGCGACUUUCUGGUCUGUAACUGACGCUGAGGCGCGAAAGCGUGGGGAGCAAACAGG
rnacentral:rRNA from 1 species